rnacentral:tRNA from 1 species
CUCUCCGUAGCUCAGCUGGUAGAGCAAAUGACUCUUAAUCAUUGGGCCAUAGGUUCGAAUCCUAUCGGGGAGACAA